rnacentral:snoRNA from 1 species
UGGACCAAUGGUGAGAGUUUGUCAUGAUCCAAGAUCACAAUUAAUCCAGUCUGCACACCCAAGGUCUGUU